ACACAAUCUUAAAAUCUAUCUUAGAGAAUUCUUUCCAAGUAUUUCUUCUGUGUUUUUUUAACCUGUAAAAGAUAAUGGAAUAUAUUUUAUAGACUGGAUCUUAUCUUAUCUCUUUUUCCUCUCCUGACUGCACUCAGUUUAAUAGUUGUCAGUUUUUCCUCAGUGUUGGAUUUAAUUAUGUAGGACCAAAAGAUUCCUCAGUAAAUUAGAUUGCUGAAUAUUCUGUUGUUUGUGUGAUUUCGCCUUUGAGAAACAGCUUAAUUACAGAAAUUUAUCU
rfam:Equus caballus chromosome 7, whole genome shotgun sequence.